rnacentral:lncRNA from 1 species
UCAAGGGAGCAGAUGGCGCCAUCACAAGGCCUCUCUUCUCAAGAUAACACAAGAGCGCAUUCCCUGGCUGGACCUGCCCUCUGAUACCCUCUGCCUCGUGAACAACCACGUUCAGCACCAGGGAGAGCGCCCAGCAGAGCUCGCCCGAAGCUGAACCGGAGAGCUAGAGCUAGCCGAGCAAGACAGUCUGAAGCAGGGGACUGGAGGAAGCCAAACUGAGGAGAAGGUUUUUUACAGUGCUGGGGAAGGACCCCAGGGCCUACACAGCCCGUGUGCACCAUCCACCCAGCCCCCAAUGGAAGACUCUAGAAGAGGAAGGGCUCUUACGUCUCCUCUCGUUCCCAAUGGAAGACACCCUUAUGUGUGCUUGAUGACUAACUUCCCAUACAUAUGUGUGGCACAUGCUGACCAGCCCUGGAUACCAAACGUGGUCGGUUUUCAUACACACAUGUGAACCAUGAGGGCUGACCUUCCAGGGUGUGUGCAAG